AUUGAACGCUGGCGGCAGGCCUAACACAUGCAAGUCGAGCGGAAACGAGUUAUCUGAACCUUCGGGGAACGAUAACGGCGUCGAGCGGCGGACGGGUGAGUAAUGCCUAGGAAAUUGCCCUGAUGUGGGGGAUAACCAUUGGAAACGAUGGCUAAUACCGCAUAAUGCCUACGGGCCAAAGAGGGGGACCUUCGGGCCUCUCGCGUCAGGAUAUGCCUAGGUGGGAUUAGCUAGUUGGUGAGGUAAUGGCUCACCAAGGCGACGAUCCCUAGCUGGUCUGAGAGGAUGAUCAGCCACACUGGAACUGAGACACGGUCCAGACUCCUACGGGAGGCAGCAGUGGGGAAUAUUGCACAAUGGGCGCAAGCCUGAUGCAGCCAUGCCGCGUGUGUGAAGAAGGCCUUUCGGGUUGUUAAAAGCACUUUCAGUCGUGAGGAAGGUGGUGUAGUUAAAUGACUUGGCAUUUACUUGACGUUUAGCGUACAGAAGAAAGC
rnacentral:rRNA from 1 species